rnacentral:rRNA from 1 species
GAUGAACGCUGGUGGCGUGCCUAAUACAUGCAAGUCGAACGGGGGGUAGCAGUACUUCUAGUGGCGACCGGGUGCGUAACACGUAGCUGACCUACCCCGGCGCGGGGGACAACAGGCCGAAAGGUCUGCUAAUACCGCAUAACCCACAGGGCGCUAAAGAACCUGUGGGAAACUUCCGGGGCGCCGGGUGGGGGCUGCGGCCCAUCAGGUAGUUGGUAGGGUAGUGGCCUACCAAGCCGACGACGGGUAGGGGGCCUGAGAGGGUGGUCCCCCACACUGGGACUGACAGACGGCCCAGACUCCUACGGGAGGCAGCAGUAAGGGAUAUUGCGCAAUGGGCGAAAGCCUGACGCAGCAACGCCGCGUGGAGGAUGACGGCCUUCGGGUUGUAAACUCCUUUGGAUCGGGACGAGCAAGGACGGUACCGGUCAAACAAGUCACGGCUAACUACGUGCCAGCAGCCGCGGUAAAGCGUAGGUGGCAAGCGUUAUCCGGAUUUACUGGGCGUAAAGCGUGUGCAGACGGGGCAUCAAGUGGUGUAUGAAAUCGCCCGGCUCAACCGGGCGGGGUUAUGCCAGACUGGUGUGCUAGAGACAGAGAGAGGGACGUGGAAUUCCGGGUGCAGUGGUGAAAUGCGUAGAGAUCCGGAGGAACCCCUGAGGCGAAGGCGGCGUCCUGGCUCUGGUCUGACGUUCAGACACGACAGCAUGGGGAGCGAACGGGAUUAGAAACCCCGGUAGUCCAUGCCGUAAACGAUGACGACUAGGCGCUGAGGGUCUCAACCCCCGCGGUGCCGCAGCUAACGCGAUAAGUCGUCCGCCUGGGGAGUACGGUCGCAAGGCUA